rnacentral:rRNA from 1 species
UAGGAGGUCGUUUAGCCUGCCAUGUGUAAGUUUAAAGACCAAGUAGGAUGAAACUGCGCACGGCUCAUUAUAACAGUAAUAGUUUCUUUGGUUAGUCGGUACAAGGAUAACUUUGUGAAUGAUAAAGCUAAUACUUGAGACGAUCCGGGAAGUAUUUAUACUUCUGGCCCCAGGGCCGCGGGGUGGUCGAAAACCACCUUUCCCUGGUGAAAAAGGAGGCCCCGACAAUGGAGGAAGGCUACGCUUUUAACAAGAAACCAAGGGAAAUUCCGGAUCUAUCAAUUGGUGGGUAGAAUCAAGGACUACCAAAAUUAUAACGAAUAACAAGAAAUUGGGGUUCAACCUCGAAAAGGGAGUUUUCCAAAGGGUUACCCUUUCUAAGGAAGGCGCCAGGGGCGAAAUUUACCCCCUUUCAACCGAAAAAGGUAGGGACAACAAAUAAUCCUGGCCGCCCUUUGGGUUACCUUGAAGGAAUGAUUAAAAAUAAAUUCCCCUAAAAAAAUCAAUGGAAGGCCAGUUUGGGGGCCACCACCCGCGUUAUUCCAACCCCCAUUAGGGA